rnacentral:rRNA from 1 species
UCCUACGGGGCGCAGCCGUGGGGGAUAUUGCACAAUGGGGGAAACCCUGAUGCAGCGACGCCGCGUGAGUGAAGAAGUAUUUCGGUACGUAAAGCUCUAUCAGCAGGGAAGAAAAAUGACGGUACCUGACUAAGAAGCACCGGCUAACUACGUGCCAGCAGCCGCGGUAAUACGUAGGGGGCAAGCGUUAUCCGGAUUUACUGGGUGUAAAGGGAGCGUAGACGGCUGUGCAAGUCUGAAGUGAAAUGCCGGGGCCCAACCCCGGACCUGCUUUGG